AAGGGCUCCCUAUAAAGCCGACCUCUGCCAAUACGAUCGGCAUUUCACUACCUCCGAAAACACUCAAAAAUGAACAGACGGAUCACAGAGAAUGAUCGGAACCGCCAAACCGCCGCAACCAGCUCCGCCACCACAAUUCCUUACUUACCUGACAACGUCGUCGAAAAAAUCCUGUCCUUCCUUCCGAUCAAUCUAGCGGCCCAGGCGAACACCGUUUCGAAACAAUGGGCAGCCCUGUGGCCUUCGUUCCCAGUAAUCGAUCUCGACGAGGCCGAUCCGAUCAAUUGCGAACUCUAUAUCGAACCUGGACGUUUCCUCAGCUUCUUGCACCAUUCUGUCAGACGAUGCGGGGAUCAAAAGCGCUUGGACAAGUUGAGGAUUCGAGCCAACCUUCGAUACGCCUACGUUUUGGUUAGAGAAUGGGUUGAUUUUGCAAUUGAUAGGUGUGUCAAAGAGUUAGAUCUUCGAAAUUUGGGUGAGAAUAGGUACUACCUCCUAGCGCAUAACGUUUUAACUCUGAAAUCUUUAACUAGUCUGAAUUUGGAGAAUGUGAGAGUGUAUGCAAGUUCUGGAAUUGAUGGUCCUGUUAGCCUACCCUUACUGAAAACCAUGUCACUCACGGAGUUGGAAAUUUUCGACGAUGAGGAGGACUGGGCCAUUUGCGCCGUCCCCAGCUUAAUUUCGGGGUGUCCUAGCAUGGAGCAAUUGUCAAUUAAGAAAUGUAAGCUUGGCUACUCUACCAUGGAGCUUGAAAUUUCAAGUUACAGUCUCAAAUCCUUGGAAAUUAUGCAUUGCCAUUGUAUGAAUUUGGUGGUUACCGCCAAGAAUCUCGAGUCUUUUACAUUCUAUUCGGAUUGUACCUGUCCUUACCAUAAGACUAUGUACUUGUGGGAAUGUGAUAACUUGAAACAUGUGGACAUCUCUUGUUUGGGGUUGAAACAGCUUCUACUGCAUACAUGCCUCAAAACUUUGGAGAACUCGUUUUACACUCCAAAUCUAGAGGCUUUUGAGUUUAGCGGAUAUCUGAAGGCCAAGGUCCAUUUUGUGGAUGCUCCAUCAAAGUUAUUAAAGGCUACAAUCAGAGUUUGGGAGACCUCAUGGCCCAUUGAAUAUUAUUCUGCUAUGAGAGGUUUUCUUGAAAGUUUCAAUUGCUCCAAAAAAGUGAAGCUACAUAUUGAGGAUGCUGAGGGUGUCAUAAUACCAGAACAUCGGAGAAUGGAAUGGUCUUCCCCAUUACCUAGUAUUAAGCAGCUGCAGCUAUACUUUUCUGCUCCAUUGGGGGACAGAGAAUAUUGUUUGAGACCUUCAUUGAUUUGGAUGGCGCCAUCUGCUGAGAUUCUACCAUUUCUAGAUAAUGAUGAUGAUGAUGAGGAUGACAAUGAUGAUGACUAUGAUGAUGAUGAUGACAAUGAUGACGACGAUGAUGACCACAACGAAGACUAAAUAGUAAAGCAAAUGUUUUUGGGGAUAUGGGGACUGUGAGAGAGUGGUGAUUUCCAUCAUUCAGAAAUUCGGACAAAGGGCGGUUGAAAGUUCAAGUUCCAGUGUUUAACUCUUGGACUUCAUCAAUUGGAAAGCUCAGCAAAUUGAAAUUUCAUGCUUUGAAUCUCAGUCUUUUUGCAUUCCUGUCAGAAUGGUGCAGUUUCCGCAAGUUCAUACAUAUCAUCAGCAUCCUUAGUCAGUUUCAUGAAUUUCAAAAGGAUAUUGAGGCAUCCUCACGUCUGUGUCGAACAUGAAUUUCUUAAACAUAAAAGACCUUUCAUUAUAUUUUGUCGUGGAAUCAUUUUCUGCCCUCAGAGAACUGUCUCAAAUCAACUGGCUAGCAGUUCUUUACUGUAGUUGUGUUGUUGAAACUUAAGAAUCAAAUGCAUCGCUGACUAAGAUCAUGGUGCAAUUUAUCUUCAAGCUCUAUUAUAUGGUGGAUGG